AUGUUUAUGAUAUUACAUAUUCUCAACCUGGAGAGAUAAGGAGUAGAUUAGCGUGGCCCCUGCGCUUGGAUGACGGGCAAAUUCGUGAAGCGUUCCAUAUUUUU
rfam:Octopus bimaculoides Scaffold5069_contig_97, whole genome shotgun sequence.